UGAGUCGGCCGGGUGGCCGCGGCACGGGGUCGGUCCGCCGGCGACCGUGUCGAGGAAAGUCGGGCCUCCACAGAGCAGAGUGCUGGCGAGAGCCAGGUCGCGGCGACGUGACGGACAGUGCAACAGAGAGCAGACCGCCGAUGGACCGGUUCACCGGUCACAGGUGAGGGUGAAACGGUGCGGUAAGAGCGCACCAGCGUGCGGAGCGAUCCGUACGGCUCGGUCAACCCCACUCGGAGCAAGAUCGAGCAGAGGGGACGGGUUGCUCGCCCGUCCGGACCCCGGUCCGGACACCCCUCGGGUGGAUCGCACAGAGGGAUGGUCACCCGUGCCGGCAACGGCACGACAGAAGCCCGCUUACAGGCCGACUCACCGU
rnacentral:RNase_P_RNA from 1 species